ACGAACGCUGGCGGCGUGCUUAACACAUGCAAGUCGAACGGAAAGGCCCUGCUUUUGUGGGGUGCUCGAGUGGCGAACGGGUGAGUAACACGUGAGUAACCUGCCCUUGACUUUGGGAUAACUUCAGGAAACUGGGGCUAAUACCGGAUAGGAGCUCCUGCUGCAUGGUGGGGGUUGGAAAGUUUCGGCGGUUGGGGAUGGACUCGCGGCUUAUCAGCUUGUUGGUGGGGUAGUGGCUUACCAAGGCUUUGACGGGUAGCCGGCCUGAGAGGGUGACCGGCCACAUUGGGACUGAGAUACGGCCCAGACUCCUACGGGAGGGAGCAGUGGGGAAUAUUGCACAAUGGGCGGAAGCCUGAUGCAGCAACGCCGCGUGCGGGAUGACGGCCUUCGGGUUGUAAACCGCUUUCGCCUGUGACGAAGCGUGAGUGACGGUAAUGGGUAAAGAAGCACCGGCUAACUACGUG
rnacentral:rRNA from 1 species